AUACGGAGGGUGCAAACGUUGUUCGGAAUUACUGGGCGUAAAGCGCGCGUAGGCGGUUUGUUAAGUCAGAUGUGAAAGUCCACAGCUCAACUGUGGAAGUGCAUUUGAAACUGGCAGACUUGAGUACUGGAGGAGGUGGUGGAAUUCCCGGUGUAGAGGUGAAAUUCGUAGAUAUCGGGAGGAAUACCGGUGGCGAAGGCGACCACCUGGCCAGAUACUGACGCUGAGGUGCGAAAGCGUGGGGAGCAAACAGGAUUAGAUACCCUAGUAGUCC
rnacentral:rRNA from 1 species